rnacentral:rRNA from 1 species
UCGCUACUACCGAUUGGGAAAAUUUCAGAAAAGUUUGGACUGUGUCUUGUUCGGCUUCACGGCCUUACUUGACGUGGAAAAAAUUUUAAUGAUAUUUUCCUAGAGGAAGUAA